rnacentral:tRNA from 1 species
GAGGAUUUAGUUUAAAUAAAACAUGAAUUGGUCAAGUUCAAAUUACACUCAAAAGUAAUUCUCU